ensembl:snoRNA SNORA29 small nucleolar RNA, H/ACA box 29
AAUCCCAUUUUAGUACCACUUUUUUGCUUCUCAGAAUAAGUGGCUAUGCUAAUGGGAAAGAAUAAUCUCUGCUAUAGUCUGAUGGGGAAUGAUAACUUUUUGUAACUUCUCCUACAUGAAAUGGCAGAACAGAAAAUU